ensembl:lncRNA EBLN3P endogenous Bornavirus like nucleoprotein 3, pseudogene
GGAAGUGCCUUCUCUCCUCCCGGGUCUGCGCGGACGCGGCCUCCUUACCUCAUUUGUCCUCGCCCCUCCCCGUCCCUCUACGCGUUUUGGUCCCUGUUUGGUGCUUUCUGUUUGCAGCUACGGCAGUGAGUAUGGAAGCCAGUCAGUGAAGCGCGGAGGUCCGGGCGCGCCGAGAGAGAGUCCAGUCUUUGAGGACCGAGUAGUCCUGGGCCACCUCCCGCCUCUGCUGUCAGAAGCAGCAGCUGCCGCCGUGGAAUCCAAAAUUUCGGGAGCUGUGACCCUUUCCUCAUGUAAAACGAGUAGUCUUGGACGGCUGGAGUGUAGUGGCGUGAUCAUAGCUCACUGUCAACUUUGAACACUUGGGCUCAAGCUAUCCUCCCUCAGCCUCCCAAGGUGGGAGGUACAGAUCUGGGCAUAGGAACCAAUCAGAAACAAUCGCUUCAGCAAUCAAGACCAUUGUUCAUCAUGGAGGAACCCAUGGAUACCUCUGAGCCUCUAUCUGCAUUACCAUUCACUGGGCAGCAGUCUUUUGAGCCAAGUGGCAAAUUUGGACAGUAUCCAUCGAUGCAGAUGAACCACAUCCAGGCACUGGGGAAGUGGAGGACAUAGAACAGCUCAAUCAGUGUUUGAUCCAACACUUCCAUCUCAUUAAGACAAGUUUGAUUUUUCUUUGCUUUUUAUUUCAUGGAAUACAUGAGAAUCUCUUAACUGUUGGAGUUUCCAAGGAGGCAUACCUCAUGACUUCAGUUAAUGGAAAGAACAAAACUAAAAUGCUGUAUGGCCAAAGCCACAAAGGGAAGGAUCCACAAUUUACAUUCUUGGAGCUAUCAUCUGUACUGUACUGUUGUGAUCUACUGAUUGGCAUUGGCAUAGUAGUAGGGGUCAAGUGACAGAAUCCGUGCCAGCAGUCUCCAGGUUCAGAAGCAAUUCAAGACCCUGAUGAUAGCUCUCCAGCAACCAACACAUGGUGAUUGUGCCAACUUGUUGCUCAGUUAUAAUGCAGGGCCAGUGAUUGGUUUAAGUGAAGACCAUGGUUGAGAUCAUUUGUCUUUGGUCUAAUAGAAUUUGAGUCUAGUAGAAUUUGAGUCUCCAGGGAAAGAGCUACUUGACCAAAUUAAACUAGUAGCAGGUAGAGCAUGAAUGACAGCAUAUUAUACCAUCAAGAUGUUCUUAGAGCAGUGUAUGGAUGGAUCGAUUGUACUGCCAUCAGUUGUGACUGACGUUGUAUUCAAGGAGAAAGAGAAACUUGUUUAGAAAGCACUUUGAAAGUUUUUUGAGUACGGGGGUGCCCUGUAUCACCCCGUUAUGGUUGAACUUUCUCCUUCAAAAUUACCAGACUUGGCAGCAGUGGCAAAUUAUUGGGCUAAAAGACUUAAUCAGACAUAUUCUGGGUUCAAGGCUCCUAAUAUAAUACCUGGUGCAAACAUUAUACUUCCACUCAUUCAGAUGGUUGCAUCCUGCCAGGCAUCCAGUGGGACUGGGAAUAUGGACACUUGAACAUUAAACAUCCUGAAGAAUUUUGGAAUGACAGGUUACAAGUGAACAUAAUCAGUUCUCUAUAUUAAAAAAAAAAAAA